rnacentral:rRNA from 1 species
GAUGAACGCUGGCUACAGGCUUAACACAUGCAAGUCGAGGGGAAACGACGGGGAAGCUUGCUUCCCCGGGCGUCGACCGGCGCACGGGUGAGUAACGCGUAUCCAACCUGCCUCUGACUGAGGGAUAACCCGUCGAAAGUCGGCCUAAUACCUCAUGGCAUCGUCUGCGGGCAUCCAACGACGAUUAAAGAUUUCAUCGGUCAGGGAUGGGGAUGCGUCUGAUUAGCUUGUUGGCGGGGUAACGGCCCACCAAGGCUACGAUCAGUAGGGGUUCUGAGAGGAAGGUCCCCCACAUUGGAACUGAGACACGGUCCAAACUCCUACGGGAGGAAGCAGUGAGGAAUAUUGGUCAAUGGGCGGGAGCCUGAACCAGCCAAGUAGCGUGCAGGAUGACGGCCCUAUGGGUUGUAAACUGCUUUUAUGCGGGGAUAAAGUGAGGGACGUGUCCUUCAUUGCAGGUACCGCAUGAAUAAGGACCGGCUAAUUCCGUG